UACAGAGGUCUCAAGCGUUGUUCGGAUUCAUUGGGCGUAAAGGGUGCGUAGGUGGCGGGGUAAGUCAGGUGUGAAAUCUCCGGGCUUAACCCGGAAAGGUCAACUGAUACUGUGCGACUAGAGUGCGGAAGGGGCAACUGGAAUUCUCGGUGUAGCGGUGAAAUGCGUAGAUAUCGAGAGGAACACCUGCGGCGAAGGCGGGUUGCUGGGCCGACACUGACGCUGAUGCGCGAAAGCGUGGGGAGCGAACAGG
rnacentral:rRNA from 1 species